rnacentral:rRNA from 1 species
GUGAACGCUGGCGGUAGGCCUAACACAUGCAAGUCGAACGGCAGCACAGUAAGAGCUUGCUCUUACGGGUGGCGAGUGGCGGACGGGUGAGGAAUACAUCGGAAUCUACUUUUUCGUGGGGGAUAACGUAGGGAAACUUACGCUAAUACCGCAUACGACCUACGGGUGAAAGCAGGGGAUCUUCGGACCUUUCGCGAUUGAAUGAGCCGAUGUCGGAUUAGCUAGUUGGCGGGGUAAAGGCCCACCAAGGCGAUGAUCCGUAGCUGGUCUGAGAGGAUGAUCAGCCACACUGGAACUGAGACACGGUCCAGACUCCUACGGGAGGCAGCAGUGGGGAAUAUUGGACAAUGGGCGCAAGCCUGAUCCAGCCAUACCGCGUGGGUGAAGAAGGCCUUCGGGUUGUAAAGCCCUUUUGUUGGGAAAGAAAAGCAGCAGGUUAAUACCCCGCUGUUCUGACGGUACCCAAAGAAUAAGCACCGGCUAACUUCGUG